rnacentral:rRNA from 1 species
UAGGGAAUCUUCGGCAAUGGACGAAAGUCUGACCGAGCAACGCCGCGUGAGUGAAGAAGGUUUUCGGAUCGUAAAACUCUGUUGUUAGAGAAGAACAAGGACGUUAGUAACUGAACGUCCCCUGACGGUAUCUAACCAGAAAGCCACGGCUAACUACGUGCCAGCAGCCGCGGUAAUACGUAGGUGGCAAGCGUUGUCCGGUUUUCUUGGGCGUAAAGCGAGCGCAGGCGGUUUCUUAAGUCUGAUGUGAAAGCCCCCGGCUCAACCGGGGAGGGUCAUUGGAAACUGGGAGACUUGAGUGCAGAAGAGGAGAGUGGAAUUCCAUGUGUAGCGGUGAAAUGCGUAGAUAUAUGGAGGAACACCAGUGGCGAAGGCGGCUCUCUGGUCUGUAACUGACGCUGAGGCUCGAAAGCGUGGGGAGCAAACAGG